GUCUCCGUGGGGGCUCCAAAGGGGGCUGGCUAACUUCUUUGCUGACCUCCACCUUUCUUUCUGCCUGUUGAAUCUGGGUCCCUCUUGGGUCUACAUGUCAGUGACAGAGUAAUUUCUCUGGAAAGCAAUUACUUCUCAGUCCCCUUCUCGGUCUUUCUGACGGGGUUUGGUACAGGCCCAAACCUCAGGGCCCGUAUGUCUCCUGUAUAGGUGUUGGGAGAGAGAAUGAGAAGCCGCGUACAGGGGGUGAGAGGGCGCCCCAAUUUUGGCCAUGACUAUCUACUCUUGCUCUCACAGAAUUUCCUCUUGGCUAAGCUUUCUUCUAUGUUUGCAUGACUGAAGUUUCAGUCUAAAAGCCAGUCAGGUCAAUCAGCGCUGUGGUUGUCUCUCAAUUGUUUGUAGACGUGGAGGGGCAAAGAGGGCGAGUACCUGGCUCCUGUCUCUGAUCAGGACACACCCGGGUCAGAAAGAUGAGGUCUGUCCGGUUCUGCAAGGGUGUUAUUUGAAGAAUGAAAGGGGACGACUUCGUCUGGUACUCAGAGAAGCCCAAUCAUUCAUAGAGCUGCAGGAGUCCAUUUAUAUCCUGACUCACAUUUCAGAACAGCCUAGAAGAAAACAACAUCAAGUGGAAGCUGGAAUCAAGUAUUUAAAAGUUUUCCUUCACUGGGUUUGGUUCACUAUUCGACUACCAAAGUUAGAAUCAAAUAAAAGCAAAUGCAAAUAAAAAGCACCCUUGUCAGCAGUCACGUUUGGUCGGAAGAUCAGCUUUGCUGCAUCCGAAAGGUCACUGCCCAGAGGAGCACACUUUGGACCCUGACAAGCAACGUGCCAUGAAUUGACUUGGAGGCACAGCUGACACUUGUAAAUCCCACCCCCAGCCCGGCCGUCAGCUCAUCCCACCUCAUCAUGCCUCUCAGAUACGCUCACAGCCCAGAUUUUCAAGUACCAGACCUCACAGGAAGAGGCCAAUCAUCCGCAUGUAGAAGUCUGUGUUAAAUGAAAUACAGGAUCAAGCCAAGGAGCCUGAGUUAGGGACUGGUGUUGACAGCUCCUCAUUCCCGCCACUUACUAAUUUUAUUUCCCUCCUCAGCUGGUGUCAUUGCCUAAAAACCUUUUAAGCACAGGUUUUCAUAUUCUGUGAUUUAACUC
ensembl:lncRNA